UACAGAGGGUGCAAGCGUUAAUCGGAAUUACUGGGCGUAAAGCGUGCGUAGACGGUUACAUAAGUCGGGUGUGAAAGCCCCGGGCUCAACCUGGGAAUUGCAUUCGAGACUGCGUAGCUAGGGUGCGGAAGAGGGAAGCGGAAUUUCCGGUGUAGCAGUGAAAUGCGUAGAUAUCGUGAGGAAGACCAGUGGCGAAGGCGGGUCUCUGGACAGUUCCUGACGCUGAGGCGCGAAGGCCAGGGGAGCAAACGGG
rnacentral:rRNA from 1 species